CAGGCAGCAAAGCAAAUUUCCCAAUAGCUUCACAAAACACUUUUAGAACAGAGUUAACACCAACCCACAAGUUUCAUUCUUUAAACUAAUUAUACAGAAACUCAGUUUCAUCCUCCCAAAACGAAACUGAUUCCUUUGUUUCAUUUACUAGCACCUACUCAAAUACAAUACAUUUCAUCCCAAAACUGUAAAAAGGCUAACAAAAAGAAG
rnacentral:misc_RNA from 1 species